UUGGAGAUUUGAGAUCGGGAUUUGGAGAUUUGACAUCAGGAUUUGGAGAUUUGGGAUUUGGGGAUUUGGAGAUUUGAGAUCGGGAUUUGGAGAUUUGACAUCAGGAUUUGGAGAUUUGGGAUUUGGGGAUUUGUGAUUUGGGGUCGGGAUUUGGAGAUUUGGAGAUUUGGGGAUUUGGGAUUGGAAUUGGGAUUUGGGGAUUUGACAUCAGGAUUUGGAGAUUUGGGAUUUGGGGAUUUGUGAUUUGGGGUCGGGAUUUGGAGAUUUGGAGAUUUGGGAUCGGGGAUUUGGGAUUUGGGGUGGGGAUUUGGAGAUUUGGAGAUUUGGGAUUUGGGGAUUUGGAGAUUUAGGAUCGGGAUUUGGGGAUUUGGGAUCGGGAUUUGGAAUUGGGAUUUGGAGAUUUGGGGUCGGGAUUUGGAGAUUUGGAGAUUUGGGAUUUGGGAUUGGAAUUGGGAUUUGGAGAUUUGAGAUCAGGAUUUGGAGAUUUGGGAUUUGGGGAUUUGUGAUUUGAGAUCAGGAUUUGGAGAUUUGUGAUUUGGAGAUUUGGGAAUUUGUAGAUUUGGGGGUUUGAGAUUUGGGAUCAGGAUUUGGAGAUUUGGGGUUGGGAUUUGGGGAUUUGGGGGUUUGAGAUUUGGGACCAGGAUUUGGAGAUUUGGGAUAGGGGAUUUGGGAUUUGGGGUGGGGCUUUGGAGAUUUGGGGAUUUGGGAUUGGAAUUUGGGGAUUUGGAAUUGGGAUUUGCAGAUUUGAGAUCAGGACUUGGAGAUUUGGGAUUUGGGGAUUUGGGGAUUUGGGAUCGGGAUUUGGGGGUUUGGAGAUCUGGGGAUUUGUGAUUUGGGGUCGGGAUUUGGAGAUUUGGGAUUUGGGGGUUUGAGAUUUGGGAUCAGGAUUUGGAGAUCUGGGAUCAGGGAUCUGGGAUUUGGGGUCGGGAUUUGGAAUUGGGAUUUGGAGAUUUGGGGUCGGGAUUUGGAGAUUUGGGGAUUUGGGAUGGGAAUUUGGGGAUUUGGAAUUGGGAUUUGCAGAUUUGGGAUCGGGAUUUGGGGAUUUGGAAUUGGGAUUUGGAGAUUUGGGGUCAGGAUUUGGGGAUUUGGGGAUUUGGGAUCGGAAUUUGGGGAUUUGGAAUUGGGAUUUGGAGAUUUGAGAUCAGGAUUUGGAGAUUUGGGAUUUGGGGAUUUGGGGAUUUGGGAUCGGGAUUUGGGGGUUUGGAGAUUUGGGGAUUUGUGAUUUGGGGUCGGGAUUUGGAGAUUUGGGAUUUGGAGAUUUGGGGAUUUGUAGAUUUGGGGGUUUGAGAUUUGGGAUCGGGAUUUGGAGAUUUGGGAUUCGGGGUCGGGAUUUGGAGAUUUGGAGAUUUGGGAUUUGGAGAUUUGGAAUCAGGAUUUGGAGAUUCGGGGUUGGGAUUUGGGGAUUUGGGGGUUUGAGAUUUGGGAUCAGGAUUUGGAGAUUUGGGAUUUGGCAUUGGGAUUGGCAUCUGGAUUGGGGAUUAAGGAUUUGAGAUUUGGGAUCGGGAUUGGCAUUGGGAUUGGCAUCGGGAUUUGGGAUCGGGGAUUGGCAUCUGGAUUGGGGAUUUAGGAUUUGAGAUUUGGAAUUUGGGAUCAGGGAUUGGCAUCGGGAUUGGGGAUUUAGGAUUUGAGAUUUGAGAUUUGGGAUUGGGAUUUGGAGAUUUGGGGAUCUGGAGAUUUGGGAUCGGAAUGGGCAUCGGGAUUUGGGAUCGGGAUUGGCAUUUGGAUUGGGGAUUUAGGAUUUGAGAUUUGGAAUUUGGGAUCGGGGAUUGGCAUCAGGAUUGAGAAUUUAGGAUUUGAGAUUUGGAAUCUGGGAUGAAGAACGGCAUCAGGAUUUGGGGUUUGGGAUUGGGAUCGAGAUUUGGGAUCACAAAUAGCAUCAGGAUUGAGGAUUUGGGAUCAGGAAUGGCAUCGGAAUUUGGGAUUUGGGAGUGGAAUCGAGAUUUGGGAUCACAAAAGGCAUCAGGAUUGGGAUUUGGGAUUUGGGAUCAGGAUGGGGAUUUGGGAUCAGGAUUUGGGAUUUGGGAUCAGGAUUUGGGAUUUGGGAUCAGGAUUUGGGAUUUGGGAUCAGGAAUGGGAUCCAGACCCCACCGAGGGCAGAGCGAGCUCCUGGAGGAUUUGGGGAUCUUUUAGGGGCACAGGGAUUGGGAAUUCCGGGGUUUUAUCCCAGAAUUGUCAUCCUGGAGAUGCUGGAGGGGUUUGGGAUGAUCCAGAGGGAAUUCCUGGGUUUUAUUCCCAGUUUUUGUCACUGGGAGAUGCUGGAGGAGACUGGGAUUGGGAAUUCCGGGGUUUUGAUCCCGGAUUUUGGAGGUGCUGGAGGGGUUUGGGGAGAUCCAGAGGGAAUUCCGGGAGUUUAUUCCCAGUUUUUGUCACUGGGAUGAUCCAGGGGUACCCCAAAACUCCAAGGGAAUUUUGAUCCCUCCCGGGAAUCCCCCACCCUGAGACUUUUUUUUGGGAUCUCUUCCCAAAAUUUGGGCCCUUUUGGGAUGGACGAUUGGGAAGGAAAAUCGGGAAAACCCCCCCAAAAAAGCCCCAAAUUUGGGCCAUUCCCAAACCCCAUCCCACCCAGAAUUCCUGGGAAAAUUCCCCGAGAUCAUCCCCCCAAUAAACCAAGUUCCACCCCCGGC